rnacentral:rRNA from 1 species
UACGGGGGGGGCAAGCGUUGUUCGGAAUUACUGGGCGUAAAGGGCGCGUAGGCGGCUUUUCAAGUCGGGCGUGAAAUCUCCGGGCUUAACCCGGAAAGGUCAGCCGAUACUGCGGGGCUAGAGUGCAGAAGGGGCAACUGGAAUUCUCGGUGUAGCGGUGAAAUGCGUAGAUAUCGAGAGGAACACCUGCGGCGAAGGCGGGUUGCUGGGCUGACACUGACGCUGAGGCGCGAAGGCUAGGGGAGCGAACGGG